rnacentral:rRNA from 1 species
CCAGACUCCUACGGGAGGCAGCAGUAGGGAAUAUUGCUCAAUGGGGGAAACCCUGAAGCAGCAACGCCGCGUGGAGGAUGAAGGUUUUCGGAUUGUAAACUCCUUUUGUUAGAGAAGAUAAUGACGGUAUCUAACGAAUAAGCACCGGCUAACUACGUGCCAGCAGCCGCGGUAAUACGGAGGGUGCAAGCGUUAUUCGGAAUCACUGGGCGUAAAGAGCGCGUAGACGGGAUAGCAAGUCAGAUGUGAAAUCCUGUGGCUUAACCAUAGAACUGCAUUGGAAACUGUUAGUCUAGAGUGUGGGAGAGGUAGGUGGAAUUCGUGGUGUAGCGGUAAAAUCCGUAGAUAUCAGGAGGAAUACCCAUGGCGAAGGCGACCUGCUAGAACAUAACUGACGCUGAUGCGCGAAAGCGUGGGGAGCAAACAGGAUUAGAUACCCGCGUAU